UUUGCGUCGAAGGUAUACCGGUAAGGAGUGCUGGAGCGAAUAGAAGUGAGCAUGCAGGCAUGAGUAGCGAUAAUUAAUGUGAGAAUCAUUAACGCCGUAAACCCAAGGUUUCCUACGCGAUGCUCGUCAUCGUAGGGUUAGUCGGGUCCUAAGUCGAGUCCGAAAGGGGUAGACGAUGGCAAAUUGGUUAAUAUUCCAAUACCAACAUUAGUGUGCGAUGGAAGGACGCUUAGGGCUAAGGGGGCUAGCGGAUGGAAGUGCUAGUCUAAGGUCGUAGGAGGUUAUACAGGCAAAUCCGUAUAACAAUACUCCGAGAACUGAAAGGCUUUUUGAAGUCUUCGGAUGGAUAGAAGAACCCCUGAUGCCGUCGAGCCAAGAAAAGUUUCUAAGUUUAGCUAAUGUUGCCCGUACCGUAAACCGACACAGGUGGGUGGGAUGAGUAUUCUAAGGCGCGUGGAAGAACUCUCUUUAAGGAACUCUGCAAAAUAGCACCGUAUCUUCGGUAUAAGGUGUGGUUCGCUUCGUAUUAGGAUUUACUCCGAAAGCGAAGAAACUUACAACAAAGAGUCCCUCCCGACUGUUUACCAAAAACACAGCACUCUGCUAACUCGUAAGAGGAUGUAUAGGGUGUGACGCCUGCCCGGUGCUCGAAGGUUAAUUGAUGGGGUUAGCAUUAGCGAAGCUCUUGAUCGAAGCCCGAGUAAACGGCGGCCGUAACUAUAACGGUCCUAAGGUAGCGAAAUUCCUUGUCGGUUAAAUACCGACCUGCAUGAAUGGCGUAACGAGAUGGGAGCUGUCUCAAAGAGGGAUCCAGUGAAAUUGUAGUGGAGGUGAAAAUUCCUCCUACCCGCGGCAAGACGGAGAGACCCCGUGGACCUUUACUACAGCUUGACACUGCUAUUUGGAUAAGAAUGUGCAGGAUAGGUGGGAGGCUUUGAGUAUAUGACGCCAGUUGUAUAUGAGCCAUUGUUGAGAUACCACUCUUUCUUAUUUGGGUAGCUAACCAGCUUGAGUUAUCCUCAAGUGGGACAAUGUCUGGUGGGUAGUUUGACUGGGGCGGUCGCCUCCCAAAUAAUAACGGAGGCUUACAAAGGUUGGCUCAGAACGGUUGGAAAUCGUUCGUAGAGUAUAAAGGUAUAAGCCAGCUUAACUGCAAGACAUACAAGUCAAGCAGAGACGAAAGUCGGUCUUAGUGAUCCGGUGGUUCUGUGUGGAAGGGCCAUCGCUCAAAGGAUAAAAGGUACCCCGGGGAUAACAGGCUGAUCUCCCCCAAGAGCUCACAUCGACGGGGAGGUUUGGCACCUCGAUGUCGGCUCAUCGCAUCCUGGGGCUGGAGCAAGUCCCAAGGGUAUGGCUGUUCGCCAUUUAAAGCGGUACGCGAGCUGGGUUCAGAACGUCGUGAGACAGUUCGGUCCCUAUCUGCCGUGGGCGUAAGAAGAUUGAAGAGAUUUGACCCUAGUACGAGAGGACCGGGUUGAACAAACCACUGGUGUAGCUGUUGUUCUGCCAAGAGCAUCGCAGCGUAGCUAAGUUUGGAAAGGAUAAACGCUGAAAGCAUCUAAGCGUGAAGCCAACUCUAAGAUGAAUCUUCUCUAAGCUCUCUAGAAGACUACUAGUUUGAUAGGCUGGGUGUGUAAUGGAUGAAAGUCCUUUAGCUGACCAGUACUAAUAGAGCGUUUGGCUUAUCUUUAAUAAAGCAU
rnacentral:rRNA from 1 species